GGGGAAUUGGUUUAGUGGUAUAAUGUUCCCUUAGCAAUCCAUCCACGAUGGUUGAUUUGGGAGAGGUCGCGAGUUCGAUUCUUGCAUUCUCCA
rfam:Glarea lozoyensis 74030 unplaced genomic scaffold M7I_scaffold11, whole genome shotgun sequence.